GAUGAACGCUGGCGGCGUGCCUAAUACAUGCAAGUCGAGCGAACAGAUAAGGAGCUUGCUCCUUUGACGUUAGCGGCGGACGGGUGAGUAACACGUGGGUAACCUACCUAUAAGACUGGGAUAACUUCGGGAAACCGGAGCUAAUACCGGAUAACAUUUGGACCCGCAUGGUUCUAAAGUGAAAGAUGGUUUUGCUAUCACUUAUAGAUGGACCCGCGCCGUAUUAGCUAGUUGGUAAGGUAACGGCUUACCAAGGCAACGAUACGUAGCCGACCUGAGAGGGUGAUCGGCCACACUGGAACUGAGACACGGUCCAGACUCCUACGGGAGGCAGCAGUAGGGAAUCUUCCGCAAUGGGCGAAAGCCUGACGGAGCAACGCCGCGUGAGUGAUGAAGGGUUUCGGCUCGUAAAACUCUGUUAUUAGGGAAGAACAAACGUGUAAGUAACUGUGCACGUCUUGACGGUACCUAAUCAGAAAGCCACGGCUAACUACGUG
rnacentral:rRNA from 1 species